CGUUGUCUUAGACAACUGCCAAUGUUUCCAGUGUCAGGAUGAUACGAGUGACCUGAGAGAAACGCCUUCGGGUGGUCACACUGCUAAAGUCAUAAGGAAUGAAGCGUGGUCUGAGACUGACGCCUUCGGGCGACCACACCGGUACUCUUCCGUAGCCUGAAAGGAAGAGAGCGUGAUGAAGAAGCGCGGUAAAUCU
rnacentral:sRNA from 1 species